CGGACGGGUGAGUAAUGCGUAGGAAGCUGCCCGAUAGAGGGGGAUACCAGUUGGAAACGGCUGUUAAUACCGCAUAAUGUCUACGGACCAAAGUGUGGGACCUUCGGGCCACAUGCUAUCGGAUGCGCCUACGUGGGAUUAGCUGGUUGGUGGGGUAAAGGCUCACCAAGGCGACGAUCCCUAGCUGGUUUGAGAGGAUGAUCAGCCACACUGGGACUGAGACGCGGCCCAGACUCCUACGGGAGGCAGCAGUGGGGAAUAUUGGACAAUGGGCGCAAGCCUGAUCCAGCCAUGCCGCGUGUGUGAAGAAGGCCUUCGGGUUGUAAAGCACUUUCAGUGGGGAGGAAGGGGUGUGUGUUAAUAGCACAUAUCUUUGACGUUACCCACAGAAGAAGCACCGGCUAACUCCGUGCCACCAGCCGCGGUAAUACGGAGGGUGCAAGCGUUAAUCGGAAUUACUGGGCGUAAAGCGCACGCAGGCGGCUUGUUAAGUCGGAUGUGAAAGCCCCGGGCUCAACCUGGGAAUGGCAUCUGAUACUGGGAAGCUAGAGUAUGUGAGAGGGGGGUAGAAUUCCAAGUGUAGCGGUGAAAUGCGUAGAGAUUUGGAGGAAUACCAGUGGCGAAGGCGGCCCCCUGGCACAAUACUGACGCUCAGGUGCGAAAGCGUGGGGAGCAAACAGGAUUAGAUACCCUGGUAGUCCACGCCGUAAACGAUGUCUACUACCUGUUCGCGGGCCUUGUGUUGUGAGUAGCGCAGCUAACGCGUUAAGUAGACCGCCUGGGGAGUACGGUCGCAAGAUU
rnacentral:rRNA from 1 species